rnacentral:rRNA from 1 species
ACAGCAGUAGCCGCGGUAAGACAGAGGAUGCAAGCGUUAUCCGGAUUUAUUGGGUUUAAAGGGUCCGUAGGCGGACUUAUAAGUCAGUGGUGAAAGCCUGUCGCUUAACGAUAGAACUGCCAUUGAUACUGUAAGUCUUGAGUAUAUUUGAGGUAGCUGGAAUAAGUAGUGUAGCGGUGAAAUGCAUAGAUAUUACUUAGAACACCAAUUGCGAAGGCAGGUUACCAAGAUAUAACUGACGCUGAGGGACGAAAGCGUGGGUAGCGAACAGGAUUAGAUACCCGCGUAGUCCCUGUCUCUUAUAC